rnacentral:rRNA from 1 species
UACGAAGGGGGCUAGCGUUGUUCGGAUUUACUGGGCGUAAAGGGCGCGUAGGCGGCCUCUGCAAGUCGACUGUGAAAUCUCCGGGGCUUAACCCGGAAAGGUCAGCCGAUACUGCAGGGCUAGAGUGCAGAAGGGGCAACUGGAAUUCUCGGUGUAGCGGUGAAAUGCGUAGAUAUCGAGAGGAACACCUGCGGCGAAGGCGGGUUGCUGGGCUGACACUGACGCUGGAGGCGACGAAAGCUAGGGGAGCGAACGGG